CCUACGGGGGGCAGCAGUGAGGAAUAUUGGUCAAUGGCCGGAAGGCUGAACCAGCCAUGCCGCGUGAAGGUCAGUGCCCUAUGGGCGUUAAACUUCUUUUGUGCGGGAGCAAUAAUGGUCACGUGUGGCCAGACGAGAGUACCGUACGAAUAAGCAUCGGCUAACUCCGUGCCAGCAGCCGCGGUAAUACGGGGGAUGCAAGCGUUAUCCGGAUUUAUUGGGUUUAAAGGGUGCGUAGGCUGGGAGGUAAGUCAGCGGUGAAAUGCCCCGGCUCAACGGGGUGAAGUGCCAUUGAUACUGCCUGGCUGGAAUGCGGAUGCCGUGGGAGGAAUGUGUGGUGUAGCGGUGAAAUGCAUAGAUAUCACACAGAACACCGAUUGCGAAGGCAUCUCACGAAUCCGCGAUUGACGCUGAUGCACGAAAGCGUGGGUAUCAAACAGGAUUAGAUACCCGGGUAGUC
rnacentral:rRNA from 1 species